rnacentral:rRNA from 1 species
AUAUCAAUAAGCGGAGGAAAAGAAACCAACAGGGAUUGCCUCAGUAACGGCGAGUGAAGCGGCAACAGCUCAAAUUUGAAAUCUGGCUCUUUCAGGGUCCGAGUUGUAAUUUGUAGAAGAUGCUUUGGGUGUGGCUCCGGUCUAAGUUCCUUGGAACAGGACGUCAUAGAGGGUGAGAAUCCCGUACGUGACUGGUUGCCUCCGCCCGUGUAAAGCUCUUUCGACGAGUCGAGUUGUUUGGGAAUGCAGCUCAAAAUGGGUGGUAAAUUUCAUCUAAAGCUAAAUAUUGGCCAGAGACCGAUAGCGCACAAGUAGAGUGAUCGAAAGAUGAAAAGCACUUUGGAAAGAGAGUUAAACAGUACGUGAAAUUGUUGAAAGGGAAGCGCUUGCAACCAGACUUGCAUGCGGUUGAUCAUCCGAGCUUCUGCCCGGUGCACUCGAUCGUAUUCAGGCCAGCAUCGGUUUUGGUGGGCGGAUAAAGGCCUUGGGAAUGUAGCUUCCUUCGGGGAGUGUUAUAGCCCUCGGUGCAAUGCGCCCUACCGGGACCGAGGACCGCGCUUCGGCUAGGAUGCUGGCGUAAUGGUUGUAAGCGA